AGCGUAAGAAACGUAAAUUGGUACCGUUCGACAGAGGAAGAGAACGGGAGAAAGACGGAGAAAAGCGUGCAGACUGAGGGGAAGGCACGUCACUUCCGGUCCAUUAAGAGCAACACGGGGGUCACUAGUGUUGUGUGCAGGGAGCUAAUUAUAAGAAAGGUCAAGCGAAUUUACGAAGAAGAGAGGAAACGACGGGUAAAAAGAUCUCCGAGCAUCAUUUUGUUCUGCUUAAAGUGUAACAAGUUUCUCCGAUUACCAUCGCCGCUUCUAAUAGCGAAAAAAAUAACCGCAUUUGUUGCAGGGAGGCAUGCACCGUGGUAAUCGAUAAUUUGUCGGUGUAACCGAGAAGGUGCAAGUAUAAAACUAGAGGAAACGAGGCGAAACGGAACGAGGCGAGGCGAGAAAAAGAAAGACCGAGCUUACCUGAUUUGCGUGUGAUAGGCGGGAGCUGUGUGUUCGGUGUGCGUGGUCAGGAGUUCGGCCGGAACGGUGUCCAUGUCGAUCGGUUGAGUCCUCGAUAUCGCGAUAGGCUGCACCUGAAAUACGCCGGGUGUUGUCGGUGAAGGUUGUGGACCUAGCAACGAGACGCGUACCAUUUCCCUACCUUCGCUGUAAGAAAAGAAAAAGAGAAAAAAAGAUUAGAAAAAUUAUGAGAAACCCUCCUUCAAAAUGCAAUAUCUUUAGAAACGUUGAUUAUCUGAAAUGAAUUGGGUCACGUUCGGAUAAAUAAUCUCUUGGAUAAUCGGCAAGAAAGAACAUCGAAUUUAUGUCGAACGCGUGGUUAAACGAUUUUCAAAUAUGAUGCAUAGUAUUUAUUAGGUAAGAAAAUCUGUCUAAUAAGAGAAAUACAUUAAAAAAUAGAUUAUAAUUUUUACGUAUGUAAUGUAAAUUUACGUAACGUAAAUAUUAACAUAAUAUGAAGAUUCAUUUUCCUGAAAUUGCAUCGACUUAAUGGACAUUUUUUUUACUGGCGCGAAUAUAAAGAUGUAGUUAACUGUCGCGCUUAUUGUCUACUUAACCGUUGUAGAGUUAUUCUCAUUAAUUUCAAGAACUGGAAUUAUAAUUUUUAAGACACGUACAUAUCUCUAAGAAUUUAAGAUAUAACAGAUAUAUAAAACAAGAUACAAUUAUUUCCAAUGGAAAGUAAAACACUUUUUUCUUUCUUUUUUAUUUCUUAUUUCUUUUAUUUCUAGACGUAUUUUUCCAACGAACUCGUUCAAUUGCAGGUUACUCGACCGACCGUCCGAAUCCGCCCGAUUUUUACCGAGACUGUCCGAAUUUUUUUCCAAAUCUAAGAAUUCUUUUCUCGAAUGUCUUUGUGUAUUUUAUCGUCUUGUGUACUUAUAUUUUUCUACAAUCGAAUGCUGACAUCUUUUUUAUUUCAUCGAGAUUUACCAUUUCUUACUCUCAUUAAGAAAUAAGCGAAUUAAAAAUACUUUGACAAAAUACUUUUUGCGAUAUAACAAUGCUAUUAAGAUACAUAUCGUACUAUGAUACAUAUACGAAAUGUUCCAGGAUUAUAUAUUGAAAUGAAUCAAAAAAAUAAAUAGAUAAAUAAAAAAAUAUUUUUUUUACAAUUUAAAAAUCUUUUGAGUGGAUAUAUACGAAUUAUCAAUAAAAAAUUUUAAAAACGAGAAAUAUUCUAUCGCUUUCUCAUUUUCGAGGAGAUAGAAGAAACUGAACAUGAUAUUUAAUUAAAUUUUCAAUUUUAAUUUUUAGAAAAUUUUAUGCGAGAGAAUUUUAUCCAACAUUCGCAAUUUCUUAUUAAUUAUUCUUACAUCUAUACGGGAAUUAAUUGACAAAUUUUUGAAUAAAAUUUCUCAGACAAAAUAUCGAAUCCUCUGUCCAUUUAAACCAUCCAUUCUGUGUCAUCUUAUACAUCUUAUAUGUGUAUUAAUUAUUAUCGAUAACCUUGACCUUGAAAUCAAUAUUUUCGACAAUAGCCGACUGACAUUUAUUUCUUCGAAAAGAAAAAGAUAGAAAAAAAAAAAGGAGAAAUUCAUUCAUCGAAUUAAUUUUCAUUAAAAUGAUUUCCUUAUGGAAUUUUGCGUAAUAUAUUUAAUAUCACGUACGACACGAAAGCUAGAUGUAAUAAUACAUGACGAACAACUUACUUCUUUGGUGAUGCUUUUUCAGUCGUUGACUUAUUUCGUUCGGCUCACAUGUUGCACGAAUGGCAUCACGCCAAAGAAUAUACUACGGCUGACACUUGCCAAUUUUCGAGAUUACUUGAUAAUCGAGUAGAUACAAUAUCAGGAAAUAUCAAAAUGUCAUUAACUUCGAUUGUUGCUCUUAUUAACCUGCGUGUCUUGAAAACUUAACUUUCCGAUUAUAAUUCCGUUUUUUUUCGUAAAUAAAAUUAUCCUCAUUUCCUUUGUUAGAAAAAAAAAAAAUGAUGCCUAUCGUCACCCCAUUCACUCAAUGGGGCUAUUUGCCACUACCCCGUGGCGCAACCCUCUCUCACUUUCAAGAGGCACCCCCACGGAUUUACGGGGAAAAUGUUUAAUCGAUAUUUUUCGACGGCGGAACUUUGCACGACGAGAAAUUCUACGAAUAGCCUCCAGUUAUGAACGAACAACUUUCAUUUCCAACUUUUUAUUUCAUUGCCGAUAUCACGUUUCGUAUAUAUAUAUAUUUUUCUAAUUCUAAUUCUCGAUCAAUUGUCUCCACCAAUUCCAGAAAUUGGAACUCCUCGUUUUUGACAAAGAGAUAAGUUGAGAGAGUAUUGUAAAACGCUGACAUUUUUCUUCUAUCUCUUAACUUUUAAGAAAUGCUUUUCUUUUCAUUUUCCAGUGAAAUGAGUAAAAAUCCGAGAUGAAUUAUAAAAAGAAUUUUGUAUCUUUAAUUAUUCUUGCGAUGGAGUAAUAAAAAAUUAACACGUCGUCAAAGAUAUGGAAAAUGCAUCGGUAAACAGUAUAAUAUUCUUAAAUUCCAGUAAGUCAAAAGUCCAUAUAGUAAUUCUCAUGGAGCAAAUAUAACUGAUUUUAUUAUUUCAGGAAUAUGAGUUCGAAACUCGUGAACGAAGAAAGGGAAUAGAUAUAGUAAGUAUAGUAUACUUGAAAGAGAAGUGCUUCGAAAGAUUUUUUUUUUAAAUAAUUAUUAUAAAUCUCUCUUACUAUACAAUUCACUAUCUUUAUCAAUAGCUAAUUCAACGGAAAGAUACAAUAAUGACGAUGCCAUUAUUUCGUGACGAGCAAAAUAAAAAUCGCUUCCAGCAAUAAAUUAUUAUUAUUUUAUUCAAUCGUUACAAUCUCUUUUCAACAAAGAAAAGAAUCACCGUUACUGCUGGACGCGCACGGUACUUCUGGACUAGUACCAAUCCGUUUCGUAUCAAUUCACAGUUAAUCGUGCGUGCAGUUACACACAUUCCACCGACGUAAACGUCGAUCAACGAAUCUAUUCGUUUUAAUCGAAAAGAUAAAGCUACAGAAAAUAGAACGUGGCAGAGGUAUUAUUAUUUGCAUUACGCGAAGGAAACGUUUUCAUUAUCGAAACCACGAUAACGAAUAAUCGGAAGAAUGCUUAAUGUUAUUGUUACUGACCAACUGUACACCCUCCAAUGUUACGUCAGCGAAACGCAAAAUAAAUGGAAAAACCGAUCUGUUCCCGAACGUCGCGAGUCAUCUUGUUAUUACGUAAUCUGACCCAAGUGAAGGGAGAAAGGAGAAGAGAAAAGAGAAAGGAAAUGGGAAGAGAAAGAAAGAGGGAAAAGAAAAAAGUUUCGAGAACGAAAGAAACCGAAAGGAUGGAGAGGCACAGCCGAAGUCUGGUUCGAACCGGUUCCGUCGUGCCACGGUCACGCGACUUUUCAUCCCAAUGUUGCCGCUUACAAAGAAAUUGAUCUUACGACGAUAAUGCACGAGUAUUUAUGCGCGCUCGACGAGAGAAAUUAUCCUAAGUGUAUAUACACGCACUGUUGAAUAGUACGGGUAUACACGCGUGCACAAGAAGGAGAGAAAAAGAGAAAGAAAAAUAUAGAAAAGAAUACGCGCGUGUUUACGAUUAUUUCAACCGUGUGUAGUUCCAACUUCAACCUCUCUUUCCAGACGCUGGUGUCGCUACGGUAGCACGCGGUAGCAUCUGACGUCAUCGUGCAGUUAAACACCUACUACAUGAUUUAAACUUUAGACCUUGAGUCCAUGAUAUCAUUCCACGCCGAUGAUUCUCAACGUGCCAUGUUAUUUGUAUUUACCGCCAAAUCGUGCACGCGAAGAAAUCCUUUAAAACCGCGUAAUUUAUUUCGUUUAAAUUAAUUAUUUAAUCUCUGUGAUAAACGGGUCAUUUUUUCGAUCAUUUUCGCUUAAUUUAACGAUCGACGAUAACGAGAAUUAAUUAAAUUUGAACGGUUACGUUUGACCCAGUCAUUUCAACGAAAUCAAUAUCAACUUCUUCGUUACGAGAUAUCAACUACGAUAAAUUAUAUAAACUAUAUGUAAUAUGUGUACGAAUGAAUAUAAAUAUAAACGAAUUAAUUAUAUACGUUAGGAAGAGAAACAUAUACUUGAUAAAAUUUUAACCUAAUUUCAUAAAUGUACAUCUUUUCAUCGAGAGCAACAGAAUCGAUCAUUUUACGAGAAAGGGGCAGAUAGUCGAUAGAUACAUAGGCGCCGUUGCGUCUAUAACCUUACGAGGUCGACCUCUCGUUUCAAACGAGAACGGUCAACGAUAUCGAAGAGUCUACGUUUCCAGAAAAUGGAAUCAUAAAUAGCUUUGCCAAGAAAACGCGAAGAAUUUUAUGUGAAAAAAUCACUUCGAUAAAGAAAAAUCUAAAAGAAAAUAGGAUUAAUGAGUAAAAUUGAAUGCACAUUGGUCAAUAUAGGAUCAAGUAUAAUUAACUUGAUACAUAAUAUCGAUUCGUCACGAAGCGUAAAUUAUCGACUCAGAUCGAGAUUACCUCAUGUUUUCCAUUUUGGAACAGUACGCCCAUUUCGUUUCUGUUCGGCCGUGUAUUUUUAACUUCUUACGCUCGCCGGAAUUUAUGCAACGAUAUACGCGAUCGGUUGUGCACGACGAACGAGUGUGUGAAAAGUUAAGCGUGAUCGUCGAAAGAGUUUGUAUGAUGCGGCGCAAACUCCCACACGCGCUGCUUCAAUUUGUAUUCAUAACUGGAAGGUAUUUGGUUCACGAAAAUCGGCUUUGUUCCUUUCGAUUUGCACGAAUUUUCCAUUCAAAUUUUCUGAACGUCGUAAAUUAAAAGAAUGAAGAAUAAACGUCGAGCGAAAUUAUUUAAUCCGUAAAAGGAGCGAAAUAAACGCUUGAAACGCAAUUUCUCAACAUGAAUCCGGUGGAUCGGCAUUAAACACCCUGGUCACGCAUGACCGAGUGGCAUCGAGCUUCGAAGUAACGUUUAAAUUUAUAUACUGUUACAGAAGUAUAAAAAAAAGUAUCGGUCGAAAUGACGAACGAACAUAUGAUUUUUUGUAUUAAUUAAAUUAUAUUUAUCAGUGAUAUAUAAAAAAAA